rnacentral:rRNA from 1 species
GUAGGGUGCGAGCGUUAAUCGGGAAUUACUGGGCGUAAAGCGUGCGCAGGCGGUUCGCUAAGACCGAUGUGAAAUCCCCCGGGGGCUUUAAACCUGGGGAACUGCAUUGGUGACUGGCGGGCUAGAGUAUGGCAGACGGGGGGUAGAAUUCCACGUGUAGCAGUGAAAUGCGUAGAGAUGUGGAGGAAUACCGAUGGCGAAGGCAGACCCCCUGGGCCAAUACUGACGCUCAUGCACGAAAGCGUGGGGAGCAAACAGGAUUAGAUACCCUGGUAGUCCACGCCCUAAACGAUGUCAACUAGUUGUCGGGUCUUCAUUGACUUGGUAACGUAGCUAACGCGUGAAGUUGACCGCCUGGGGAGUACGGUCGCAAAGAUUAA